GCAGCUCAGUUGGUUAGAGUGUGGUGGUGCUGCUAACACCAAGGUUGCAGGUUUGAUCCCAGCUGCA